rnacentral:rRNA from 1 species
CCUACGGGCGGCAGCAGUGGGGAAUAUUGGACAAUGGGGGCAACCCUGAUCCAGCCAUGCCGCGUGUGUGAAGAAGGCCCUCGGGUUGUAAAGCACUUUCAGUGAGGAAGAACGCCUGGUGGUUAAUACCCAUCAGGAAAGACAUCACUCACAGAAGAAGCACCGGCUAACUCCGUGCCAGCAGCCGCGGUAAUACGGAGGGUGCGAGCGUUAAUCGGAAUUACUGGGCGUAAAGCGCGCGUAGGUGGCUUGAUAAGCCGGUUGUGAAAGCCCCGGGCUCAACCUGGGAACGGCAUCCGGAACUGUCAAGCUAGAGUGCAGGAGAGGAAGGUAGAAUUCCCGGUGUAGCGGUGAAAUGCGUAGAGAUCGGGAGGAAUACCAGUGGCGAUGGCGGCCUUCUGGACUGACACUGACACUGAGGUGCGAAAGCGUGGGUAGCAAACAGGAUUAGAUACCCGUGUAGUC